ACCUCUCCUAAUUGAAAUGCUGCUCUCAUUAGCCAUGUUUCCAUCCACGUUUUUAUCCGAAUUAAGUAAUAUCGAAUGAAAAAUGGCUAAUGGAAACAGUAAAAGUCGAUGGGAUUUCAUGAAUUUUGGCCCAAAGGAAAUCUGUUCGA